rnacentral:SRP_RNA from 1 species
GCCGGGCGUGGUGUCUCACGCCUGUGAUCCCAGCACUUUGGGAGGCCGAGGCAGGGGAAUCACCUGAGGUCAGGAGUUCAAGACCAGCCUGGCCAACAUGGUGAAACCCCGUCUCUA